CCCUCUGUGUUUACCGCCUCCCUUAUUAAAAACAAAACUCCCAUUUUAGUGAGAGAAGAAAGAAACCACCCCUUUCUUUCUCACUCCCUCCUCCUUGGGCUUCCGAACAUUACAUUGCAUAAUUUUCAGAUGGAUGGAUUGAUCUUAUUCUUCUUCGGUUUUUUCUUCUGAUCAUUUCCGUUUUUGAAACCGCGAACGGCGCCUAAUUUCCUUUUUGCCGUUUUGAUUUCUGUUCCGAAACAUGGCUAUUCAAUUGCAGUUACACAGCCGGGAUUUUGGCAUCCAUUCUACUACUGCUCCUCCUCCUCCUUCUUCUUCUUCUGAUCAUCAGUUUCAUCAAUUAUGUCAUCUUCUUAAUCAUCAUCAUCUUCUUCUUCAACCACGAGAAGAUCAUCAUGCUGCUCAAAUAUCCGGUAAUAAUAAUGAUCAUCUUCUACUAUUGCAGCAGUACUGUUUGACUCAGUCUGAUCUUCAUCAAUCUCUCAGUUCUUUCGUCUCUGAAAUGCCUAGCGAUCACAUCGAUCGAUUCAUUCGAUUACAGAGUGAGAGAUUUAGAUUACUUCUACAACAAAAGAUUAAUCAACAAAUCGGAGUGUUAUUGAACCAGAUCGAAACAAGAACGCGCGUUCUGUUUCAGCAGAAGGAUGAAGAGAUCGCUUGUGCGAAUAUGAGAAGAAUUCAUCUAGAACAAUUAUUGACGAGAUUACAAAUGGAGAAUCAAGAACGGAAGAAAUCCGUACAAGAGAAUCAAGCAAUGGUAGCCUCGCUUAGUCGCGCACUCAAUCAAAUCAGAGAAAAAGUUUCAUUAUGCGCGAACGACGCUGAAUCGAACAACAAUAACAACAACUACAGAAACGGAGAAGACGACGCCAUUGAUUACGGAAAAACGAAGAAAAAGAAGAAGAAAAUGAUGAUUUGUAAAAUCUGCAACUCUCGAGUUUCGUGCGUUCUGUUGUUGCCUUGCAGGCACCUCUGUUCGUGUAAGCCAUGCGAGAGUACUCUCGAUUUUUGCCCCGUUUGCAACACGACGAAGAAAGCCAGCAUCGAGGCUGUGAUUUUCUAGGCAAAUUUUCCGGGAAGAAACGUUUCAAGUUGAAAACGAAGAUGAACAGAUCAAACCGUCUCACUCUUUCGGAUUUUUUAUACACCAGUUUAAAAAAGAAGAGAAGAAAGUCGAUACAAUGAAAAAAGAAAAGAAAAAGAAGAAACAGAGAUUUGGUGACCCAAAUCUAAAAAAAUAGGAAGAUGGAAGAAAUCACGUGAGUACGAGGAAGAAAGACAUAAAAAAUGGCAGAAAAUAGAAAAGGAUGGAAUAGCAAAUCUGAAAUAUUUAAAAAAGGACUAAAUUUAUAAGCUUUGUUAUCCGGAACGUAAAUAUUUCAUGAGGUUUUAGAAGAAUAAAUUGAAAAGAAAAUGUAGGCUAAAGUUUACAUAAGUGUGUAUUAAUUAAUGAGAGGUAUAAGCUAGAUGGGAGGAGGAGUAGAAAGCUACUGGUACAUACAAGUAGUGUAUUCAUGGAUGUGGGCCUUGGAAAAGUUAAUGUAGAGAAGAUAUGUGACAUCAAUUUGAGGCAAGACACAAAGUCCUAGGUGCAAGGCAAAGGUAGUUUGUCAAAUCACUCCAAUAGUGUGUAACAUUGAAUCUAGUACCCAUGGACUAUAACAAAGUCGAUCGAUCAAUUUUACUCGUUGACUUUCGAAAUAAAAAGUUAUAUUGCAACUUGCUAUUAUCAUUUGAGAUUUGUUUA